CGCGUAUGCAACCUACCUCUUACUGGAGGAUAGCCCGAAGAAAUUCGGAUUAAGACUCCAUAGUAUUUCGAUUUCGCAUGAUUUUGAAAUUAAAGGUUACGGUAAGAGAUGGGCAUGCGUCCUAUUAGCUAGAUGGUAAGGUAACGGCUUACCAUGGCAACGAUAGGUAGGGGGCCUGAGAGGGUGAUCCCCCACACUGGUACUGAGACACGGACCAGACUCCUACGGGAGCAGCAGUGAGGAAUAUUGCACAAUGGGCGCAAGCCUGAUGCAGCCAUGCCGCGUGUGUGAAGAAGGCCC
rnacentral:rRNA from 1 species